GCUAUACAUGCAGUCGAGCGGACAGAUGGGAGCUUGCUCCCUGAUGUUAGCGGCGGACGGGUGAGUAACACGUGGGUAACCUGCCUGUAAGACUGGGAUAACUCCGGGAAACCGGGGCUAAUACCGGAUGGUUGUUUGAACCGCAUGGUUCAAACAUAAAAGGUGGCUUCGGCUACCACUUACAGAUGGACCCGCGGCGCAUUAGCUAGUUGGUGAGGUAACGGCUCACCAAGGCAACGAUGCGUAGCCGACCUGAGAGGGUGAUCGGCCACACUGGGACUGAGACACGGCCCAGACUCCUACGGGAGGCAGCAGUAGGGAAUCUUCCGCAAUGGACGAAAGUCUGACGGAGCAACGCCGCGUGAGUGAUGAAGGUUUUCGGAUCGUAAAGCUCUGUUGUUAGGGAAGAACAAGUACCGUUCGAAUAGGGCGGUACCUUGACGGUACCUAACCAGAAAGCCACGGCUAACUACGUGCCAGCAGCCGCGGUAAUACGUAGGUGGCAAGCGUUGUCCGGAAUUAUUGGGCGUAAAGGGCUCGCAGGCGGUUUCUUAAGUCUGAUGUGAAAGCCCCCGGCUCAACCGGGGAGGGUCAUUGGAAACUGGGGAACUUGAGUGCAGAAGAGGAGAGUGGAAUUCCACGUGUAGCGGUGAAAUGCGUAGAGAUGUGGAGGAACACCAGUGGCGAAGGCGACUCUCUG
rnacentral:rRNA from 1 species